GCCCACGGGCAGCGCUGCGAGCUCGGCUCCCCGCGCAGCGCCGGCAGGGCGAUCACAAGCGGAGCGCUGACGGCUCCGUCGCUUUCUGGCCGCACCAGGAGGACAGCGUCAACGAGCCGCGGCGUUUUACUAAAGCUUCUGUUCCAGAGGCGGUUUACAGAGUUGGUUUUGUUUUUUAAAUCCUCCCCAACGUUGCUCUAAAAAGGUGAGCCCAACGCUACGCCAGCAGCAGCGCCCUAACAACUUCAACUGACGUUAUAAGCCGCCCGGAGCGGCUUUAUUCCGCGCGCAGCACCUCAGAAACUUCUCUUACAGAGCCCGUGAGAACUGAAAGUUGCUUCCUCCCCACACCCCAACGCCUGACUCGGCAUCGCCAAGGCUUCCGAGCCGCCGGCCCCGAUCAAAGAGGAAAAACAGGGCCACCAACGGCCGCCUUUCCCCACGAGGACGGCGCCCUCUCCGUGCCCUUUAACCCCCGGAGGCUCCCGCCCCUGCGACUUCUCCGGGUGCCCCCCCGGCAGCCGCUCCCCGCCUCGCCCCGCCGGCUCCGGCCCCGCCGCCCGGGAACGAGGAAGAGCCGCGCACAAACUUUGACGCCUCACCGGGGUAGCGCUGCGCUCCGUCGCUCCGCUCACGCUGGGCCAUGCCCAGCCCUCCCCUCCGCCGGGACUAGGAGGCGGCAGACGGCUGCGGCGGGGGGUCCAUGUCGCUCUCCGGUCCCCGAGGAGGCGCGGAGGGUUCAGCGGAGGUGAGGCGGCGCGGCCCCCGCCCGCCGGGCUCCCUCCCCGCGCAGCGCGGGGCCUCCCAUGGCGCCCGCCCCCGCGGCGAGUACGGCACGGCUCUGUCCGGCACACACCUGGCUACGAGCGCGGCGGUGGGACAGGUGCCGCGCUCCUCCCGGGACUCGCCGCGGCCGGCCCCUCCCGCUGCUCCCGCCCCGCCGCCGCACCCCCUGCCCAGCCCGCGGGGCCGAGCGCCGCCCGCCGGGGAGGGAACGCCUGCGCGCUGGGGGGAGGGGUGGCUCGCGGGGGAGGCGGCCGUUGGGCCACGGGGCUGUGCGCCGGCCGCCAUUUUGAAUCGCCUCAGCGCACCCGCGGGGCUGCCCACUCAGCACCGGGCAGUGCCGGGCCGGGCUGAGUUGAGGAAGAAAAUGUGAUGUUUUACGCAAGUUUGCCGGCCAGGGGCAUCAAGUGAGGCUGUAUCUUAGCCGUAUCUGCUUGCGUUCUCUGUGCUGUGUGCACCAUCAGCACACCUUGCUGUAUCCCACACAGUCUGAAGCCAGAGGCCACAGAAACAUGCAGUACCGUUCAGGUGCAGAGAUCUUAUUUCCUUUCUUUAUCACCCUUGGAACUCAUCCUUGCUUUUUUUCUUUCUUUCUUUUUUUUUUUUUUUUUUUUUUCCCUGCAAAAAAGUUCUGGUUAGCACCCAAACUCAGCGAUGGUGUUUAUGCAAUAUGUUACGGUAGCAAAACACAGUUUUCAGCCGCUUCGGGUUAAUCUAAACACCAACCUCUCAGGCUCCCUGCAAUGCCUUGUAGGUCUGCCCAAAGCUGGAAGCUUGAGUGCAACAAAUGAGGCACAUCAGAACCUGCACUGAUGCAGUGAGUUUGAUAUCAUGAAGAGCAAAACCCUGAUUAUUCCAGCCUUGAUGUGGGCAAGCUGCACUUGGGUAAAUUGCCAGACUGAGGUAAACAUGUACUGAAGUAUUUGCCACCACAGCCCCACCGACAGCAGUUCUAUGCUACUGAGAUGAGAAUUAGCUCAUUAUCAAGACGAGAAGUAGGUACUUAUCAUCAACAACCAAACAUUAGCCCUCUGCAGCUAUGUCUGAUUCACAGAGAUAAAUUUCAACAUUUGUUUGGCUGGAUUUGGGAGGUUUCAAAAAGAAUGCAAAAGUUAGAAUGUCAUUGAUUUCUCCAUGUCUUCGCAAAUCACUUCUACUUCUGUAAGACACCUUCCAUAUUACUGUUAAAAUGGCAAAAAAAAAAACAAACAAAAAUAUCUGAAAUGCUUGUUUAUAUGCAAAAGAGUAUUUUGAAACAUAUGCUGCCACUAAUUCCUUUUUCAGUAUUAACACCUCCCUUCUGUUUUUGAGAAUCCUCUGUUGGAGCAACUGAAAGGCUGUACCAUCACCAUGGUGUCACUUAUCUAAGGCCAAAGUUGUUGGGUUCCCAGGGUAAAUAAGCGAAUGGAAAUACACAGUCACGGAUUCUAUGUCUGCAGAAUUAUCUCCAAAUGAACUAUUUACACUUCUAUCUUUGUAAUUUUAUUUUGAACGAAGAAACAAUUAGAAAAAUCUGCCAGAGAUCUUUUUUUAGCAGUAGCUGAGCUUAGAUUACAGCUAAAAGUUUCAAAUCAACCAAGGGAGUCAGGCACCUAAAGGCUUUCUGAGUAAAUACUGAAGAACAGCCUUGUGCCUAACCAUCAUAAAGCCUUUAAGACCCCACUCUAAAGUGAUGUAGUGGAUAUUUCCAUUUCCAACCCACAGAUGACUCUUCUUCUUCAAUUGGUGUGCCUUCUUGAUACCUACUCACAACAAAAUUUGUAUUGUUCAUUGUACUGAAGAAAUACAUAAGAACAACCAGGAUCCUGCUAUGCUAGGCAGCGUAAAAAUACCAAGGUCAGCCUUAAAACGUUUACAGAACAUCACACCACAGUUAGUAUAAAACAUACGUACUCUUUUCUACAUCUGAAUCACCAUAUCAUUUGUUGAAAUGAGUAGUUGUUCAUCUUCAGUCACUGAGUCACAAUUCCUGCCUCCAAGUGUUGUGCAUUAUUAUUCCUCUAUUGGUGAAGGGCCAAAAUUUUGCAGCUAAAUACAGCUUCACAUCAUUAGUCCUGGGGAAGUGUGGAAUGCCCUAAUUACUAAAAGGAAACUGAACAGGUACUACCAGGUUCAGGAAUAAUGAAUGUGUAACUAAGUGCAGAAGGGUCCCUUCGAUGCUUUGUUUUUCAGGUGUGCGACAUUUAAAUCACUUCAUCCAGAAGGGCACGCUGAGAAAUGUUCCUGUUUGAAUAGCUGGGCCAGACGUAGAUCCUCAGAAGCAUAAUAAGAAGUCAAAUUCAGGGCUAUGCUUUUUGCUAACUUGUGACAUACUUGCUUGUGGUUUUUAUGUUUAAACCUGCUUGACUGUUUAACUAGUUUGAGGAAGAAACUUAGCAUGUAGCAUAAUGCCCUCAGGGUAGCUACAGGAAGAAAAAAAAUCACUUGUUUUAUGUAUGUAUAUCCUUCCUGACUUAUUUGGAACCUGCUAAAUGCUCCUUGAAACAGUGGAACAUCAAAUGAAAAAUAAGCCCUAAUAAACACAUUCAGCCUUCACCAUAAUCAGGCAGCUUAGCAAAACGGGAUGCACAAAAGAAACAUUCUCCGCCAUUUACGCUAACUACCCAAGGUGGUUAGCAUUAGUGUUCUCCUACUAAUUUAGAAGCAAGCAAACUUGUACAAUAAAUACUUAAGUUUGUAAAAAUCCAUGGGACAAAAUCCUGAUGUUUUGUGCAAAGAUGUCUUGCCUGCAGCUGCUGUGUAGAAAUGAAGCACUGCAUGGAGCAGCCUGGAAUUGGCAACUGCUGUUCACCUAAGAGGCCAAAAACACGUAAGCAUUCUACCAAUAGAUCAGGGCUAGAGAAUUUAAUUUCUAGAAAACAUUUGUGUCGGAAGUCCUGUCAUGCAGACUCAUAUUCAUACCACCAGAAUUAGAUAAACGAGUUUCAUGACUGCUCUUCAGGAAAGCAUGAAAGGAUCUGUGUGCUCUGCUCAGUCUCAGACUUCUCCCAGAUAAACGUGCCUAUAGACCUUUCAAACAAAGCAGAAUCCUAAGGAACAGAAAUACAAAUUCCACUCAUGUUUCUUACACCUACAGAUAUGGGGAAAGCAUUCCCUGUUUUGAAGCUUCAACUAUUUUGCAAUUGAGACAUUUAUUUGUUACAAUAACUAAAUGGAAAUAUCUAGACUGAAUUUUCAUUUAUCGCUUGCCCAGUAACUUGCCGAGUAUGAUGCAUCUGGUUCCAGACAGCCACACUGAGCUUCACUUCAAUCUGCUGCACAGUUCCCUAUCAAUCUUGAGUUCAGCAGUUCUCUGUCCCAAACCAGUAGAAAUUUCAGUGUAGCAUUUUUUUCUCCAGUUAAUGAAUGGUUUGCAUGCCGUGAAGAUCCCACAGUCAGACAUCACUGUACACUAGCUGAUCAGCUCCUGCCUGGACUUGCCAUCACUGUCAUUUAAGGUUGUGUUAGCCCACGGAAGCAAGAGUACAUGUAUGCUGAAUAUAAGCAAAUGACAGAUUAUCUCUGUUAGAGUCCAUGGUGCUAAGGGACAGAGAAGCUCAGUCUCGAAGUUAAGUGUCAGAACAGAGAUAAGACAUUGAUCUUUUCUUCCUUGCUUUACAGAAUCAGAAGUAUGUAUGGAUAACGCCUGCUUUGUGGCACAGGAAAAUGGAACAGUAAAAAUAGACUUCUACGGUUGAAAGCUUUGCUGCAUGGAGGGAAAGGUAGGAGAAUAUUCUAUGAGACUUUCCAGCACAUUUGGAUUGAUAUUACUGUAACUAAAUGCACACAACUGGGCUAUUUUUUAUCGCUGUCUACAAGCUGUUUAUGAAAUAAAAAGGUGUGGAGGAGUAAGACUACACGUAACAAAAAACAUUGCUUCUCUUAUUAAUAUCUCAGCACAAUUUAAACCCUAUUUCUAAAGCAAAAACGUUACUUCUGCAAUACAAAAGGGAAUGAACCCAGCAGGCGGUAACUUUCUAAUGGAAGUGGCUAGGAAAAAAGCAAGGGAGUACUGAAUAAAAAUCAGUUGUCCAGAACGAGUAAUGAUGAAUGAAAACAGGUCAUAUUCAACCGGGGCAGAGAAAAGAUCAAAUUAAUAUCUCCUCCCAAUCAAUCUGUAAUGCUUCAAAGGACUUAAUAUUUGUUUCAAAUAAUAUCAUAGGAAGAAAUGGAGGAAAGUAUUUAAAAAGCAUGGAAGAGACCCAUGUCUUCUUGAACAGGACUGCUGUCAAACAAACGAGGGCUCCAAAAUCAACAGAACAUGGACUCAAAUCCAUCUCCGAGUGAACGGAAUUAAAAGCCAAAAGUCAGCAUGAAAAUUAGAAGUUAUGAAACGAAAAAAUAUUUAAGAGCAAAAGGGCACAAUCCUACUGGUUAGUAGUAGAGAAAAAAGAAACAUGCAAUACCAAUAAAGGAAACAUUCAGUAACGUUUUUGUCCUGUACUUGGAAGGGAUCAGGGGAGCCUACUGUAACACAAUUGAAUUAUACAGCAAAUUACUCGUUGGAAGACGGGCUUCAACCACUCCAGCUGUACUUCUCUUAAGUAUAAGCUAUUGACAUGAAUAAAGGAACAACUGACAAGAUCUUGUGUUCCCUAGGCAAUCGGUAUUCUUUCCCCCCCACCCCCCCUCUUUAAACUAUAAAUAAAUUCAAAAGUCCUUCUGCACAUAAGCUGUUGCUGUAGGGAAGAUAGGAUUCACAGACCUAUGGAGUUCACUUUGUUCUUCAUGUUUCCCAGCAAGGCAAGAUGUACGUACAGAUGAUGUCUCUGUGCAUUUUCUUAUCACAAACAGUUUUUCUAAAGGCAGAAGUCAGGUACAGACCACCUCAUCUCUGAGCACACGUUGAAAACAUCUCACAUCUCACACCAUAUAAAAAUAGAGGUCUUGUGUUCUCUAAACAUGCAGAUGUCAUUACACAUUAAAUGUUCUGACUGACACCACGAUAUUUUACACGUAAGUAACUGAAGUGAGGACUAAACAUGCUGCCGUGUUUCCUUCCUUUUUUAAGAGCACAAGUAAUAUCUUGAUAAUUUUAAUGCUUUUUUUUCAGUACAAAACAUGAGGAAAUACUGCACCAAGGACUCCCAAAUUGGAAACAUCAUUACUAUAUCUCCUCUUAUAAUGUUUAACUGCUAAUUGCUGUGUGUUACCUGAGUUACUUACCAUUAGCCAAAGAAAAUGAGCACACACACACACCAUCCAAUUGUCCUUUUAUAUUUUUAUUUGGUGUUAAGUAACUCCACAAGAAAACAAAAUCAGUUACUCUGGUGUACGUGAAAUCAGAACAAUACAACCACUUGAAGCAAAAAGUAGAAACAAAUUUCAGCCCAGGAAUGGAAAACUGAUACUUCAGUGCUAUGGAUAUGCAAUGCGCUUCAUACCACAGUGCGGUUCAGCGUAUGCCAACCUUUAAUGCUUUUUGUUGUUGUUUUGUUUGUGUUUCUAUCCAUACAGAAAAACUAAAAACCACACUUCACUUCUCACUGAAAGCUUUAGAGCUUUAGCCGGUAAACUAUGAAAACGAGUACAGACAAUUUGUUAUUGCCCAAGCUCAAAAUACGAUUUUAUUUUCUCCAAAGGUGCUGGAAUUAUUACAUACCACAACGUAACUAUAAGCAACACCUUUGUGAUUUUUGAGCCCUUUCUUACCAAAGAAGCAGCUCCAGCCAAAAUUAACUGAGCUGAAGUUUGUGUUUGAAAUAUGUCCAUUUGGUCAUUUCUUGUUCUUGAAUGAAGUUCUAUUCCAUUCUUCACUGUAGUGAUUUGAGGAAUAUACGUGUAAAGUUCUUGUUUACUUUCAUGUUACAGUUACCUACUUCUCAGUGCAGGUGCUAAAAAGCUCUCAAGGAAGCUCCAGAAGAAAGUAAAAUAUAUAAAAAUCUCUCCAAAGUCUGCAAAUAAAUUAAGAAAAGAAACUGUAAAGUGU